AUUGAACGCUGGCGGAAUGCUUUACACAUGCAAGUCGAACGGCAGCACGGACUUCGGUCUGGCGGCGAGUGGCGAACGGGUGAGUAACGUAUCGGAACGUGCCCAGUCGUGGGGGAUAACGUAGUGAAAAUUACGCUAAUACCGCAUACGAUCUAUGGAUGAAAGCGGGGGAUCGCAAGACCUCGCGCGAUUGGAGCGGCCGAUAUCAGAUUAGGUAGUUGGUGGGGUAAAGGCCCACCAAGCCAACGAUCUGUAGCUGGUCUGAGAGGACGACCAGCCCCACUGGAACUGAGACACGGUCCAGACUCCUACGGGAGGCAGCAGUGGGGAAUUUUGGACAAUGGGCGAAAGCCUGAUCCAGCCAUUCCGCGUGCAGGAUGAAGGCCCUCGGGUUGUAAACUGCUUUUGUACAGAACGAAAAGGUUUCUACUAAUACUAGGAGCUCAUGACGGUACUGUAAGAAUAAGCACCGGCUAACUACGUGCCAGCCGCCGCCGUAA
rnacentral:rRNA from 1 species